rnacentral:tRNA from 1 species
AUUUAUAUAAUAUAAUAAUUAUAUUUGACCUCCAAUCAAAAAAUCUGUCUGCAGUAUAAAUA